CUCUGCUUUGGGCCAGCAUGCUGUCACUGACCCCCACCCUCAUCAGCCACAGCAAAUCACACAAUCAGCCCCUCUGCUCCUGGGGCAGAGGAGAGGAGAUUAUUUCCUACAAAAGUUACCGAAUCUGCCAUCAUGGGAUUGAACUUUCCACUCUCCUGAAUUUGGACAUGGCCGUGUAACGUGCCUGGGCCAAUGAAAUACGAGCAGACGUGUGGGUAUACUUUCCAGCACCUUCCUUCCAACUGCCUCAGAGACCAGCAGCAUCCUAAAUGACCAAGUCCCUGUGGAGGAUGACGUGGAUCAGCACACCUGCGGACCCAAGAGUGAUCCGUAGUGAAGUGCACCUGGUGGUCCUGCAGAUCUGUCUCUCUCUUCAACAGUGUUUGGAUGGAACAGACACAGGGAUGCCCUUUCUACCAGGCUCCGACCACAACCUUUCUUCCAGUCCCAACCUUCAGAGCCAUCUCCUUGGCCACCAUCUGCCUCCGGGACCAGCCAACACCCUAUUUUGAGCUUAGCUCCUUAUUACCAAUCCACCAUGAGCUCCCAGAUUCGCCAGAAUUAUUCCACUGAGGUGGAGGCCACCGUCAACCACCUGGUCAACAUGCAUCUGUGAGCAUCCUACACAUACCUCUCUCUGGGCUUCUAUUUCCACCAGGUGGGUGUGAUUCUGGAGGGUCUUGCCUACUUCUGUGAGUUGGCUGAGGAGAAGUGUGAGGGUGUUGAGUGUCUCUUAAAGAUGCAAAACCAGUGCAGUGGCCACACCUUCUUCACACACUUGCGCACAAACCAUCCUAGGAUGAGUGGGGUGAAACCCCGGACACCAUGGAAGCCGCACUGCCUCUGGAGAAGAGCCUGAACCAGACCCUUCUGGAGCUGCAUGCCCUGGGUUCUGCCCACUCAGACCCCAUCUCUGUGACUUCCUGGAGCCACUUCCUAGGUGAGGAGGUGAAAUUCAUCAAGAUGGUGGGUGACCAUCAGAGAAAGACAUGUAUCCUAUGACCUCACUGAUAUGAGGAAUUCUUAAUCUCAGGAAACAAACUGAGGGUUGCUGGAGUGCUGGGGGGUGGGA
rnacentral:lncRNA from 1 species